rnacentral:rRNA from 1 species
AGUGAACGCUGGCGGUCGGCCUAACACAUGCAAGCCGAACGGCAGCACAGUCAGAGCUUGCUCUUACGGGUGGCGAGUGGCGGACGGGUGAGGACUACAUCGGAAUCUACUUUUUCGUGGGGGAUAACGUAGGGAAACUUACGCUAAUACCGCAUACGACCUACGGGUGAAAGCAGGGGAUCUUCGGACCUUGCGCGAUUGAAUGAGCCGCUGUCGGAUUAGCGAGUUGGCGGGGUAAAGGCCCACCAAGGCGACGAUCCGUAGCUGGUCUGAGAGGAUGAGCAGCCACACUGGAACUGAGACACGGUCCAGACUCCUACGGGAGGCAGCAGUGGGGAAUAUUGGACAAUGGGCGCAAGCCUGAUCCAGCCAUACCGCGUGGGUGAAGAAGGCCUUCGGGUUGUAAAGCCCUUUUGUUGGGAAAGAAAAGCAGCAGGUUAAUACCCCGCUGUUCUGACGGUACCCAAAGAAUAGGCACCGGCUAACUUCGUA